CAUAUCCUCCUAUAGACAAAAAAGAGUGGCAUAGAAUGUAACUUAUUGUGCUUCCUUCUCUUCUCUUUACCAGAUGAAUAAACAUGGUAUAUUUGGAAACAUACUUUCUCAAAAGAUAUAAAAAUUUGGUUAAAUGGUAGAGGAGAAAAGGAAGCAUGAGGCAACAAGAAGGAAGUUCCAGUAUCUGAAGUACUAAAACAAAAAAAGCUAUUCAGAAUAGGAGUCAACAAAAUAAAGUUCCAACAGAUGCUGCAUAGCAGCAUCCCAUGAACCAAAAGGGGAGUGCUGAAAAGGAUUGAAUGUACUCAGUGGGAGAA